rnacentral:rRNA from 1 species
GAAACGGCGGCUAAUACCGCAUACGCCUUAAGAGGGAAAGAUUUAUCGCCCUGGGAGGGGCCCGCGUUGGAUUAGCUUGUUGGUGGGGUAAUGGCCCACCAAGGCGACGAUCCAUAGCUGGUCUGAGAGGAUGAUCAGCCACACUGGGACUGAGACACGGCCCAGACUCCUACGGGAGGCAGCAGUGGGGAAUAUUGGACAAUGGGGGCAACCCUGAUCCAGCCAUGCCGCGUGCGUGAAGAAGGCCUUAGGGUUGUAAAGCGCUUUCACCGGUGACGAUGAUGACGGUAGCCGGAGAAGAAGCCCCGGCUAACUCCGUGCCAGCAGCCGCGGUAAUACGGAGGGGGCAAGCGUUGUUCGGAAUUACUGGGCGUAAAGGGCGCGUAGGCGGAAAGCCAAGUCAGGGGUGAAAGGCCUGGGCUCAACCCGGGAACUGCCUUUGAAACUGGUUUUCUAGAGUACGGGAGAGGAUGGCGGAAUUCCCAGUGUAGAGGUGAAAUUCGUAGAUAUUGGGAAGAACACCGGUGGCGAAGGCGGCCAUCUGGCCCGGUACUGACGCUAAGGCGCGAAAGCGUGGGGAGCAAACAG